UACGGAGGGUGCAAGCGUUAUCCGGAUUCACUGGGUUUAAAGGGAGCGUCGGUGGGCUGGUAAGUCAGUGGUGAAAUCCCCGAGCUUAACUUGGGAACUGCCAUUGAUACUAUCAGUCUUGAAUACUGUGGAGGUCAGCGGAAUAUGUCAUGUAGCGGUGAAAUGCUUAGAUAUGACAUAGAACACCAAUUGCGAAGGCAGCUGGCUACGCAAAUAUUGACACUGAGGCUCGAAAGCGUGGGGAUCAAACAGG
rnacentral:rRNA from 1 species